GGACAAUUCAACGCUAUUACUGCACAAGGCCGGACCGACCCCAACCAAAACACGGGUACUUCUAUACAUAAUUGUACAAUUAGAGCAGCUGAUGAUUUGGCUUCAAGCAACACCACAAUCCAGACAUAUCUUGGGAGGCCAUGGAAGGAGUACUCAAGAACUGUUUACAUGCAAAGUUUCAUGGAUAGUUUGAUAAAUCCUGCUGGUUGGCAGAUAUGGA
rnacentral:misc_RNA from 1 species